AAACCAGCACCUCAAGUGGUCAGGAUGAUUAUUGGGCCUAAAGCAUCCGUAGCCUGUUCUGUAAGUUUCCGGUUAAAUCCGUUAGCUCAACUAAUGGGCCGCCGAAAAUACUGCAAAACUAGGGAGUGGGAGAGGUAGACGGUACUCGGUAGGAAGGGGUAAAAUCCUUUGAUCUAUUGAUGACCACCUGUGGCGAAGGCGGUCUACCAGAACACGUUCGACGGUGAGGGAUGAAAGCUGGGGGAGCAAACCGGAUUAGAAACCCGAGUAGUCC
rnacentral:rRNA from 1 species